rnacentral:rRNA from 1 species
GCAUAACACACUACCCAAGAGUAAUGAUAGUAAGGGGAAUAGAAAAAGCAAGUGAACAUGUAGUGUUGAGUGUUAGUUAGUGGCGGACGGGUGAGUAACGCGUGAGCAACCUACCCAUAAGAGGGGGAUACCAGUUGGAAACGACUGCUAAUACCGCAUAAGCUAACCUUUAUGAUGUAGAGAUUAGUAAAGAUGGCCUCUGAAUAUGCUAUCACUUAUGGAUGGGCUCGCGUCUGAUUAGCUAGUUGGUGGGGUAACGGCCUACCAAGGCGACGAUCAGUAGCCGGCCUGAGAGGGUGAACGGCCACACUGGGACUGAGACACGGCCCAGACUCCUACGGGAGGCAGCAGUGGGGAAUAUUGCGCAAUGGGGGAAACCCUGACGCAGCGACGCCGCGUGAGCGAAGAAGGCCUUAGGGUUGUAAAGCUCUGUUUUCAGGAAAGAAUGUCGCGGGUAGUAAUAUGAUCUGCGAAUGACGGUACCUGAAGAGGAAGCCCCGGCUAACUACGUGCCAGCAGCCGCGGUAAGACGUAGGGGGCGAGCGUUGUCCGGAAUUACUGGGCGUAAAGAGCACGUAGGCGGGACAUUAAGUCAGGUGUGAAAGACCGAGGCUCAACCUCGGGGUUGCACUUGAAACUGGCGUUCUUGAGGGCAGGAGAGGAAAGCAGAAUUCCUGGUGUAGCGGUGAAAUGCGUAGAAAUCAGGAGGAAUACCAGUGGCGAAGGCGGCUUUCUGGACUGACCCUGACGCUGAGGUGCGAAAGCGUGGGUAGCAAACAGGAUUAGAUACCCUGGUAGUCCACGCUGUAAACGAUGGAUACUAGGUGUGGGAGGUAUCGACCCCUUCCGUGCCGCAGCUAACGCAAUAAGUAUCCCGCCUGGGGA